GUAAGACAAGAAGCAAGUUGCUAAAUACAAAUAUACACGGUCCAGACAACAGGCAGUCUGGACUGUUACUUUUUUUGAAGGAAAUAAAAUCAACCCAAAAAACUUUUUCCGAUAAACAUGUCUGCAAAAGUAUAAAAGGUACUUUCUGCCGCCAGGGAUCGCUCUAUCCAAACAAUAAAAAAAAUGCGUAGUUUGAUGACAUCGUGCGGAACGUGGGAUCAUGGGAGGGGUCUUCUAUGGAGGCCUGAGUCAAAUGGAGAAGAAUCGCUUUGACAAAAUGAAAGAUCAUAUGAGAAGGCUCAGAUCCCGGCCCGACCACUCGGCUGUCCAGAAGACAUUGGAGGAAUUCUGCCUUCAAUACACGUUCCCUCAGUGUCCUGAGCCAAGAAGUAUCCGAGACAUGGAUCCUGCACAGAACACAGUUGAUGAUUUAAUGCUGAGGAUUUGUCAUCUUGAAAACGUUGGCAACAGUAAAGGUGUCUGUCUGUACACGGUGGACGGAAUGCCCCUGACGGAUGACCCCUUCUUCAACACGUGGUCUUUAAAAGACAGACAUAUCAAUGACAAAGACAAACUGUAUGCUAUAUUCACACCAAGGCAGAACCUAGUCAACAGUAUUGUGAUGAGAAACCCGACAGUGGAAGAAACCCCAGGAGAGGAUACGGUUUGGUGUCACAUAAUGCUUAAGGGAAACUUUGAAAUAUCAGUAAACUUGAGGUCUGACACCAUUACCAAUUUGAAAGACAAAUUGUCAAAUGAAAGUGGAAUACCAGCACAUGCUCUACAUUACCAAGGGUACCACAGUGGUAGUGACGUUUUGCUUGAUUUGGGUAUUUCCGAAGACAGAGGUUCAAAGCUGAACUUUUCCUUGUCUUCGUUUCAUGAAGAGAUGCCAGACAAUGAUGCGAUGUUCAGUAAUGAUGUUGAACCCUCGGUCCAACAAAGCACUAAAGGACUGAGUGUGUUCCUCUCCUCACUUUAUUCUGUG
ensembl:lncRNA